AUGACUCCCAUGUGGCUCUUCCUCUUCCUGCUGUCAGCUCCCAGAUAUGUCCUGGCCCAGGUGCAGCUGCAGGAGUCGGGCCCAGGACUGGUGAAGCCCUUGCAGACCCUCUCCCUCACCUGCUUUGUCUCUGGAUUCUCCAUCACAACCAGUGGUUACACCUGCACCUGGAUCCGCCAGCCCCAGGUGAAGAGGCUGGAGUGGAUUGGGUAUAUAUGUUAUGAUGGGAGCACAUACUAUGCCGACUCUGUGAAGGGCCGUUUCACCAUCUCCAGAGACAACGCCAAGAACACACUGUUUCUGCAAAUGAGCAGCCUAAGAGCCGAUGACAUGGCCAUGUAUUACUGUGCCAGACACACAGUGAGG